rnacentral:rRNA from 1 species
CCCUAGCCCCCCCCACUUCCCCCUUUCCCUCGCUCUCUCUCUUCUCCCCGCGUGAAACCGCCGCUGCCGUCGCCAUGGCCACGACCACCGUGCUCCCCGCGCCACGAGAAGACGCCCAGAAGGACCGCCACGGUCCACUUCAUCCAUCCCGAGGACCGAAUCGAGCGGGGAAGGCCCGUACACUCGCCAUCACCACCAUCUUCAUCUUGUACAUCGCCGCGGCCUCGCCGUUGAUCCGCAUCACCUCGUCCACCCCGGCCUCGUACAAGCUCACCACCGACCUCCUCUCGAUGUCGGAGCCCAGGAGCCAGAUGCCACCGUCGGUGCCUACUACUACGUGGAGACCGCCGAUGACCAGGAGUAGUAAGGAGGCUCCCAGGCAGGAGGCCUUGCCUUUUCGUUCGAUGUUGCUUUUGUGCUAGCCUUCUUAAGGCAAACUUGUCUAACUCAUGUCUGUACUCAGAUAUUGUUGCUUCCGCUUACUCUUGUGUAUUCAAGCUUAUGUAUUCGAGCCCUCGGGACCCCU